UGAAAGACCCAGAUUUCUUCGUUCGCAGCCCAGACAUUUCCUCUUCUCCAGCAUCGUCUCUUCCAACAUUCAGCAUCACUCGCCUUCGAUUUUCCUCCUAGUGGAUCUCUGAAAAACUUCCCUCGUCGACGGUAGUGGUUGCCGCCCUAGGAUCCUUCAUCUGAUAUCAUCUAAUUCCUGGUGAAGGCCGGCCAAAAAUUCAAACACCCUUUCAUUCUCCAAUUUCUUCCUGUAGCAUGCGUAAUCAAUCGAACAAUCCCACUCUUCCUUUGUACUCAGGUCAAGUUCUUACCAUAAAGCCACCAUGUCCAUAUAAUAUUCCGUCACAUCUCUGUCUCCUUGUUUGGUUUCCCACAAUUUGGUUUUGAUUUUGAAGACAUGGGAAGAAUUUUCGAAAUCUAAAUGUCUCUCUAACUGCGUCCCACACAUCUUUUGAGGUUGGUAGGAAAAUGUACGUCUUCCCAAUGGAGGGCUUCAUGGAGUUCACAAGCCACGCGGUGACUUGAGAGUUUUCUAACUUCCAUCGCUGUAAACGUACAACAUUAGUCGUGGGGGGCUGCUUCGUAUCACCAGUUAGAACAUCUCAGUUCAUCAAGUCAAGAAUGGAAGAAAAGAAAGAAGGGAGAGAGAGAGGAAGGUAGCAAUUUGAUGGUGGAAGAAGCAAUUAUGGUUGGUCGGUAAGUGGGAGCAUUGGAAGGAAUAUUUGGUAAGAUGAGGAGAACCAGAAGUAAUCACGAUUAACAAGCAAGAGUAUGAAAGUAAGUCGUUUCUGCCAGUGUUGAUUUUGAAAGAUAGAAGUGGGAAUUUAUCAUUUGUUCCAUCAACAAAUAAGAACUGGCAGAGUAUUAAUUUCCAAACCAGUGCCCUUGCACUUUCACAUAACCUCAAGAAGGUAAGUAUCAUUUUCCUAUAGUUAUUUCUGUUGCAUGUAUAUGUGUAGUUUUGAUACUGCACCAACAGCGCAACAAUAAUUUUCUCUAUUUAUUUCCUUUUUAGUAUGUUUCUUUCUUGUUUACUGAUUGUGUAUCAUAGUAGAUUAUAUUGGUGAUAUCACAUUGUUUAAGCCCUA